UACGGAGGAUGCGAGCGUUAUCCGGAUUUAUUGGGUUUAAAGGGUGGGUAGGCGGACUGUCAAGUCAGCGGUAAAAUUGAGAGGCUCAACCUCUUCCCGCCGUUGAAACUGGUGGUCUUGAGUGGAUGAGAAGUACGCGGAAUGCGUGGUGUAGCGGUGAAAUGCAUAGAUAUCACGCAGAACUCCGAUUGCGAAGGCAGCGUACCGGCAUCCAACUGACGCUGAGGCACGAAAGCGUGGGGAUCAAACAGG
rnacentral:rRNA from 1 species